UAAGGUUUCUUUUUGUGGGGUCCAAAAAUCCCUGGCAGCACCCCUGCUGUUAACAAAAUGAACUCUGGAGAUGUAGGUAUUGUCAACUUCGGAGGAUCGCGAAAGGUACACUGCAGAGCUAACUGGAUUUAGAUAGAGCUUCCAGACCCAUUUCAAAUAGCUGACGAUCUGUGGGUUGACAGUUCUCAGAAUUGGUCUCCAGUUUCGUAUGGAGACUUUUAAAAUUAUCUCAUUGACACGUCUGCACUUUACACAGCAGAAGCAAUGAAGGCAUACAAGUCAUUAGAAGGCUAUAACUUUUUCGUCUGUGGAUUUUACCACAGCAAUGAUUGCAUGAACGCAGUGUUCUUGUUGAAGUUUGCAAUGAUGCCAUUGCAUAAGACAAGAAAGGGCAGCAUUUGGCGUGGGCCUGCCUGGACAAAUUAAAAGACUACGUGGUGUCUGCACAGUGCACAUGCAAAGCAGGGCUUGGGGAGGCUUGCUGUCACAUUGCUGCAGUGUUGUUCAAGGUUGAGGCAGCUGUGAAGCUUGGACUCAACCAUCAGUCCAAAACAAGCACAGCCUGUGUUAAGACCUGCUACUACAAAGGAAAGGUUACAGCUAAACGUGUUGCAGACAUGGACUUCAAGCCAAAACAUGGUCAGGUGAUGAAUGCAAGAGGUGGGAAUCCUGGCCAAGGAGGAUUCUGACACAGACACUGCUUAAGAGGAUGAGGAUAUGCCCCCAGGGCCCUUCAACUUCUACCCAAAACAGAGCUCAGACUGCUGAGAGGCCGUGGCAAUCGUUACGAAAUCCUACACUGGGAGCUUACUGGCGAGUGGUCUAUAUGGAACAAGGCAACAACAGAACUGGGUAGUUACGUGAUGAUUAGAGGUUAUGCAGCCAAAAUGAAAAAAACAAGACCUAAAGGUAUAAGUGGUUUAAUUCAUUAAAUGAAGAAACAAAAACAACAAUCAUUUUCAACAACCAAAUUAACUAUUGUUCUUGUACUCAAAUCUACUGUAUUUUCAGGUAACACUCAAGUGUGGAGAUUACAAAAUAUAUAACUUGCACAAUAUGCAGCUCUUAUGCUGUUUGUGAAAUGUACAAUAUGAUUGUUUCUCA